ACGACUCUCGGCAACGGAUAUCUCGGCUCUCGCAUCGAUGAAGAACGUAGCGAAAUGCGAUACCUGGUGUGAAUUGCAGAAUCCCGCGAACCAUUGAGUCUUUGAACGCAAGUUGUGCCCGAGGCCACUCGGCCGAGGGCACGCCUGCCUGGGCGUCACGCCAAAACACGCUCCCAACCACCCAUAUCAGGAAUCGGGAUGCGGCAUCUGGUCCCUCGUCUCGCAACGGGCAGUGGACCGAAGAUCGGGCUGCCGGUGUACCAUGCUAGACACAGCGCAUGGUGGGCGUCCUCGCUUUAUCAACGCAGUGCAUCUGAUGUGCAGCCGUCAUUAUGGCCUUAGAACGACCCAGCAAACGAAGUGCACGUCGCUUCGACCGCGACCCCAGGUCAGGCGGGACUACCCACUGAGUUUAAGCAUAUAAAUAAGCGGAGGAGAAGAAACUUACAAGGAUUCCCCUAGUAACGGCGAGUGAACCGGGAGCAGCCCAGCUUGAGAAUCGGGCGGCUGUGCCGUCCGAAUUGUAGUCUGGAGAGGCGCCCUCAGCGACGGACCGGGCCCAAGUCCCCUGGAAAGGGGCGCCUGGGAGGGUGAGAGCCCCGUCUGGCCCAGACCCUGUCGCCCCACGAGGCACCGUCAACGAGUAAGGUUGUUUUGGAAUGUAGCCCAAAUCGGGCGGUAGACUCCGUCCAAGGCUAAAUACAGGCGAGAGACCGAUAGCGAACAAGUACUGCGAGGGAAAAAUGAAAAGGAGUUUGAAAAGAGAGUCAAAGAGUGCUUGAAAUUGCCGGGAGGGAAGCGGAUGGGGUUAGCGAUGUGCCCCGGCCAUAUGCGGAACGGCUCUUGCUGGUCCGCCGCUCGGCUCGGGGUGUGGGCUAUUGUCGGCCGCGCCGGCGGCCAAAGCCCGGGGGCCCUAGGUGCCCCUGGUGGCCGUCGUCGGCAUGGCCGGUACCCGCACACCGAAAGGUGUGUCCCUCGGGGCCCUGCGCUGCAACGGCCUGUGGGCUCCCCAUCCGACCCAUCUUGAAACAGGGAACAAGGAGUCUGACAUGCGUGUGAGUCAAUGGGUUCUGAAACCUGGGAUGCGCAAGGAAGUUGACGAGCGGGAGGCCCUCACGGGCCACACCACUGGCCGACCCUGAUCUUCUGUGAAGGGUUCGAGUUGGAGCACGCCUGUCGGGACCCGAAAGAUGGUGAACUAUGCAUGAGCGGGGCGAAGCCAGAGGAAACUCUGGUGGAGGCUCGAAACGAUACUGACGUGCAAAUCGUUCGUCUGACUUGGGUAUAGGGGCGAAAGACUAAUCAAAACAUCUAGUAGCUGGUUCCCUCUGAAGUAUCCCUCAGGAUAGCUGGAGCCCAUUACGAGUUCUAUCAGGUAAAGCCAAUGAUUAGAGUCAUUGGGGACGCAAUGUCCUCGACCUAUUCUCAAACUUUAAAUAGGUAGGAUGGCGCGGCUGCUUCGAUGAGCCGUGCCAAGGAAUCGGGUGCUCCAAGUGGGCCAUUUUUGGUAAGCAGAACUGGCGAUGCGGGAUGAACCGGAAGCCGGGUUACGGUGCCCACCUGCGCGCUAACCUAGAACCCACAAAGGGUGUUUGUCGAUUAAGACAGCAGGACGAUGGUCAUGGAAGUCGAAAUCCGCUAAGGAGUGCGUAACAACUCAACUGCUGAAUCAACUAGCCCCGAAAAUGGAUGGCGCUGAAGCGCGCGACCCACACCCGGCCAUCUGGGAGAGCGCCAUGCCCCGAUGAGUAGGAGGGCGCGGCGGCCGCUGCAAAACCCGGGGCGUGAGCCCGGGCGGAGCGGCCGUCUGUGCAAAUCUUGGUGGUAGUAGCAAAUAUUCAAAUAAUAACUUUGAAGGCCGAAGAGGAGAAAGGUUCCAUGUGAACGGCACUUGCACAUGGGUAAGCCGAUCCUAAGGGACGGGGUAACCCCGGCAGAUAGCGCGAUCACGCGCAUCCCCCGAAAGGGAAUCGGAUUAAGAUUUCCUGAGCCGGGAUGUGGCGGUUGACGGCGACGUUAGGAAGUCCGAAGACGCCGGCGGGGGCCUCGGGAAGAGUUAUCUUUUCUGCUUAACGGCCUGCCAACCCUGGAAAAGGUUCAGCCGGAGGUAGGGUCCAGUGGCCGGAAGAGCACCGCACGUCGCGCGGUGUCCGGUGUGCCCCCGACGGCAUAUGAAAAUCCGGAGGACCGAGUACCAUUCACGCCCGGUCGUACUCAUAACCGCAUCAGGUCUCCAAGGUGAAGCCUCUGGCCAAUGCAACAAUGUAGGCAAGGGAAGUUGGCAAAACAGAUCUGUAACUUAGGGAAAACGAUUGGCUCUGAGGACUGGGCUCUGGGGUCCCGGCCCCGAACCCGUUGGCUGUCGGCGGAUUGCUCGAGUUGCUCACGCGGGGAGAGCGGGUCGCCGCGUGCCGGCCGGGGGACGGACCGGGAAUCGCCCCUUCGGGGGCUUUCGCCGAGCAUGAAACAGCCGACUCAGAACUGGUACGGACAAGGGGAA
rnacentral:rRNA from 1 species